rnacentral:rRNA from 1 species
CUACGGGACGCUGCAGUGGGGAAUAUUGCGCAAUGGGCGGAAGCCUGACGCAGCAACGCCGCGUGAGGGAUGACGGCCUUCGGGUUGUAAACCUCUUUCAGCAGGGAAGAAGCGAGAGUGACGGUACCUGCAGAAGAAGCACCGGCUAACUACGUGCCAGCAGCCGCGGUAAUACGUAGGGUGCAAGCGUUGUCCGGAUUUAUUGGGCGUAAAGAGCUCGUAGGCGGUUAGUCGCGUCGGAUGUGAAAUCCUAGAGCUUAACUCUGGGCCUGCAUUCGAUACGGGCUGACUCGAGUAUUGUAGGGGAGACUGGAACUCCUGGUGUAGCGGUGAAAUGCGCAGAUAUCAGGAAGAACACCGGUGGCGAAGGCGGGUCUCUGGGCAAUUACUGACGCUGAGGAGCGAAAGCGUGGGGAGCAAACAGGAUUAGAUACCCUAGUAGUC